GGGUGAGUAACACGUGGGCAACCUGCCUGUAAGACUGGGAUAACUCCGGGAAACCGGGGCUAAUACCGGAUAACCCGUUUCACCUCAUGGUGGAGCGGUAAAAGAUGGCCUCUGGCUAUCACUUACAGAUGGGCCCGCGGCGCAUUAGCUAGUUGGUAAGGUAACGGCUUACCAAGGCGACGAUGCGUAGCCGACCUGAGAGGGUGAUCGGCCACACUGGGACUGAGACACGGCCCAGACUCCUACGGGAGGCAGCAGUAGGGAAUCUUCCGCAAUGGACGAAAGUCUGACGGAGCAACGCCGCGUGAGUGAUGAAGGUUUUCGGAUCGUAAAGCUCUGUUGUUAGGGAAGAACAAGUGCCGUUUGAAUAAGGCGGCACCUUGACGGUACCUAACCAGAAAGCCACGGCUAACUACGUGCCAGCAGCCGCGGUAAUACGUAGGUGGCAAGCGUUGUCCGGAAUUAUUGGGCGUAAAGCGCGCGCAGGCGGUCUCUUAAGUCUGAUGUGAAAGCCCACGGCUCAACCGUGGAGGGUCAUUGGAAACUGGGAGACUUGAGUACAGAAGAGGAGAGUGGAAUUCCACGUGUAGCGGUGAAAUGCGUAGAUAUGUGGAGGAACACCAGUGGCGAAGGCGACUCUCUGGUCUGUAACUGACGCUGAGGCGCGAAAGCGUGGGGAGCAAACAGGAUUAGAUACCCUGGUAGUCCACGCCGUAAACGAUGAGUGCUAGGUGUUAGGGGUUUCGAUGCCCUUAGUGCCGAAGUUAACACAUUAAGCACUCCGCCUGGGGAGUACGACCGCAAGGUUGAAACUCAAAGGAAUUGACGGGGGCCCGCACAAGCAGUGGA
rnacentral:rRNA from 1 species